CUUACAGCUGCUGCAGUGACAGACGACUGGAGGCAGAUGGAGAUGGAGCACAGUAUAUUACAGGGAGCAUCACCAACAGCGGCUGCAGUGACAGACGACCGGAGGCAGGUGGAGCUACAGGUUCUCAGAUGAAAGCGGUGAGGACAGUGAGAAAAAACACUGCCAUUUUGGGCUUUGACUCGAUCCUGCUGAGGAUGUUUGUGAUGAACAGAAAGUGAUGGUGAUGCCGCACCACCACCACAACCACCACUGACUGACCCAGAUGAGGAAGGAAUGAAUGAAGAGAGGAAGCUCAGAGCAUGACAGACUGUUCUGGGGCAAACCUCUCAUGUACAUGAUUGCAGAUGAACGUAUGGUGCCUUGCAAAGGAUUUCACAGUACAUCAGGUACAAACUAACCAAGUAGAUUUCAGGUUCCCCACAGGCCAGGGACUCACUUAUGACUGUUGUGUGAGUUACACUCACAUAUUUGGGUUCUGGAUACCAAAGCUUUUGAAGAAUGUUUUUGCUUGUAGGUUUGCUACUUGUGGACACAGAGCCCACAGAAGACCCCUGCAAAGACAGCAUGUAGAAUCAUCUGCAUGUUACUGCUGGGCGCCAAAAGCCCUUUGGAAGUGCAAAGAAUGUGAUGUCAAUCUUUGCCUUCAACAAGACACAAACUGUUUUCAAGCUUGGCAUCUUGAUCAAGACUGAAAAGAUAAGCUGGAACUUUAUUCAUCCCAAAAUGUUGUAUUAUUCCGAUAAUUUAGUGUGAUUGCACUUUCAGUUCAUCAAAAUGUCAUCCAUUGUAUGUUUGGGGUUGAUCACAGCAUUUUCAAUAAACUGGAAAAAGUC